UACGUAGGGUGCUAGCGUUGUUCGGAAUCAUUGGGCGUAAAGCGCGUGUAGGCGGUUAGGUAAGUCUUGUGUGAAAUCCCUGGGCUCAACCGAGGAAGUGCAUGGGAAACUACCUAGCUAGAAGACGGUAGAGGAAGGUGGAAUUCCUAGUGUAGAGGUGAAAUUCGUAGAUAUUAGGAGGAAUACCGGUGGCGAAGGCGGCCUUCUGGGCCGAUCUUGACGCUGAGACGCGAAAGCGUGGGUAGCAAACAGG
rnacentral:rRNA from 1 species